rnacentral:lncRNA from 1 species
AUGUUACUAACAGAACAGAAAUCCCAAGUGACGAGUGGGAAUCUAGAGGUGAAUGGCUUUAAUCAGGGCUCACUUGUAUCAGAAAAUUGUAUAUACCAUUACAUGGAUUUAUUAACGCUGGGCUAUGAUUGUGGUGUUAACGACAUAUUUAAGAGUCAUAUUAAUGAUGUAAAUAAAACAGAUAGAAAUGCAAACUUUUGCCCAUUUUUCUUAAAGGAGAGACAUUCAGAUGCCAUCAGCCAUUGUUUUCUUGUUAUAAGUCACCAUUUGAAGUGCUUUGGACAAAACAGGUGGAGAUCUUCUCAAAGUGAAAAGAUAUAAGAUACUUCAGCAUGACAUAAUUCCUCAGAAGGAGAAGGUAUGCACUUUUAUUUUAUAAUUUGCUUGUUUUACACAUCUGCCUUGUCCUCCAGACAAGUGAAAACAAAUGAGAUAAUAUGGUCCAAUUCUGUCCCCCAAAAGAUGCAGAAUGAAAAGGAAAGAAGUUGUGAGUCUUCUUUAAAACCAGGCUUUUUCCUCUGAGGAUUUGUAGGGAUAAUCUGAAAACAAGCAAAACAAAACCAAACCAAACAAACCCAAACAAAAAAGAAACAAACAAAAAAUCCUGAAGAAUAAAGAAUAAGUAGUAGGUGGCUCUUAAGAUCA